UUCGCGAUCGAACUGUACUUGGAUCCGGCGUUGGAGAAUCAGGUGCUGAAGGCCUGGAACGUUCUCGCGCGCCGACAAAUCACCACUCACCUCAUCGAGAUGGAGUCGCGCCCUCACAUAACGCUCUUCUCCGCCCCCUUUCUAGAACCUUCCAAGCUCGAAUCGCUUCUCAGAACCUUCGCAUCCAAGCACGAUCCUCUCUCGCUCUCCUUCUCCUCCGUCGGGACCUUCCCCAGCAACUCCGACAACCUCCUCUUCCUCGCGCCCACGCCCUCCCUCUCCCUCCUCCAAUUCCAGUCGCACCUCUGCGACGCCAUCAGAAAAGAAGGCCUUGAGAUCUCCGACGACUUCGCCUUCAAUUCCUGGAUACCGUAC
rnacentral:lncRNA from 1 species